UUGGGGCUAGGGUAAGGUUUAAGGUUUUUGGCGUUAGGGUUAAAAUCACUGUCCAAAACCUUUUAAGGAACAAGAUUCAGACCUUUUGGAGUUGGUUACACCAAAAAAAAUGUAAAAUGAAAAAAAAAAUAUUUGGGGUGUUCGGGCUUCCUGAAGGUAAUACCCUUCAGGUUUAAGUAUUAGGUUAUGGGGCUAGGAUUAGGUUUAAGGUUUUUGGCGUAAGGGUUAAAAUCACUGUCCAAUAUUUUUUAAGGAACAUGUUUCAGACCUUUUGGAGCUAGUUUGACCAAAAAAAAAAGAAAAAGAAAAAAUAUAUAUUUGGGGUGUUCGGGCUUCCUGAAGGUAAUACCCGGGUAUUAGGUUAUGGGGCUAGGUUAAGGUUUAAGGUUUUUGGCGUGAGGGUUAAAAUCACUGUCCAAAACCUUUGUAGGACCUCUUUUCAAACCUUUUGGUGUUAGUUAGACAAAAAAAAAAAACGAAAAAUGAAAAAAAAAUAUUUGGGGUGUUCGGGCUUCCGGAAGGUAAUACCCGGGUAUUAGGUUAUGGGGCUUUGGAAAGGUUUAAGGUUUUUGGCGUGAGAGUUAAAAUCACUGUCCAAAACCUUUGUAGGAAGUCUUUUCCAACCUUUUGGAGUUAGUUAGUCCAAUAAAAAAAUGAAAAAUGAAAAAAAAAAAAUUUGGGGUGUUCGGGCUUCCUGAAGGUAAUACCCGGGUAUUAGGUUUUGGGGCUAGGAUAAGGUUUAAGGUUUUUGGCGUUAGGGUUAAAAUCACUGUCCAAUAUUUUUUAAGGAACAUGUUUCAGACCUUUUGGAGUUAGUUCGACCAAAAAAAAAGAAAAAAGAAAAAAAAAUAUUUUGGGUUUUCGGGCUUCCUGAAGGUAUUAGGUUUUGGGGCUAGUGUAAGGUUUAAGGUUUUUGGCGUUAGGGUUAAAAUCACUGUCCAAAACCUUUUAAGGAACAAGAUUCAGACCUUUUGGAGUUGGUUACACCAAAAAAAAUGUAAAAUGAAAAAAAAUUUUUUUUGGGUGUUCGGGCUUCCUGAAGGUAAUACUAGGUUUCUGGGCUAGGGUAAGGUUUAAGGUUUUUGGCGUUAGGGUUAAAAUCAAUGUCCAAAACCUUUGUAGGAACUCUUUUCCAACCUUUGAGAGCAAGUUAGACCAAAACAAAAAUAAAAAUAAAAAUAUAUAUUUGGGGUGUUCGGGCUUCCUGAAGGUAAUACCCGGGUAUUAGGUUUUGGGGCUAGGGUUAGGUUUAAGGUUUUUGGCGUUAGGGUCAAAAUAACUGUCCAAUAUUUUUUAAGGAACAUGUUUCAGAACUUUGGGAGUUAGUUAGACAAAAAAAAAAAAAGAAAAAGAAAAAAAAAAUAUUUGGGGUGUUCGGGCUUCCUGAAGGUAAUACCCGGGUAUUAGGUUAUGGGGCUAGGGUAAGGUUUAAGGUUUUUGGCGUUAGAGUUAAAAUCAGUGUCCAAAACCUUUUUAGGAACAUGUUUAAGACCUUUUGGAGUUGGUUACACCAAAAAAAAAUGUAAAAUGAAAAAAAAUAUAUUUGGGGUGUUCGGGCUUCCUGAAGGUAAUACCCGGGUAUUAGGUUUUGGGGCUAGGGUAAGGUUUAAGGUUUUUGGUGGUAGGGUUAAAAUCACUGUCCAAAACCUUUGUAGGAACUCUUUUCCAACCUUUUGGAGUUAGUUAGACCAAAAAAAAAGAAAAAAGAAAAAAAUAUAUUUGGGGUCUUCGGGCUUCCUGAAGGAAAUACCCAGGUAUUAGGUUAUGGGGCUAGGGUAAGGUUUAAGGUUUUUGGCGUUAGGGUUAAAAUCACUGUCCAAAACCUUUUUAGGAACAUGUUUCAGAUCUUUUGGAGUUGGUUACACCAAAAAAAAAUGUAAAAUGAAAAAAAAAGUAUUUGGGGUCUUCGGGCUUCCUGAAGGAAAUACCCAGGUAUUAGGUUAUGGGGCUAUAGUAAGGUUAAAGGUUUUUGGCGUUAGGGUUAAAAUCACUGUCCAAAACCUUUGUAGGAACUAUUUUCCAGCCUUUUGGAGUUAGUUAGACCAAAAAAAAAACGAAAAAUGAAAAAAAAUAUUUGGGGUUUUUGGGCUUCCUGAAGGUAAUACCCGGGUAUGAGGUUAUGGGGCUAGGGUAAGGUUUAAGGUUUUUGGCGUUAGAGUUAAAAUCAGUGUCCAACACCUUUUUAGGAACAUGUUUAAGACCUUUUGGAGUUGGUUACACCAAAAAAAAUGUAAAAUGAAAAAAAAAAUAUUUGGCGUCUUCGGGCUUCCUGAAGGAAAUACCCAGGUAUUAGGUUAUGGGGCUAUAGUAAGGUUAAAGGUUUUUGGCGUUAGGGUUAAAAUCACCGUCCAAAACCUUUGUAGGAACAUGUUUCAGACCUUUUGGAGUUGGUAACACCAAAAAAAAAUGUAAAAUGAAAAAAAAAUAUUUGGGGUGUUCAAGCUUCCUGAAGGUAAUACCCGGGUAUUAGGUUUUGGGGCUAGGGUAAGGUUUAAGGUUUUUGGCGUUAGGGUUAAAAUCACUGUCCAAAACCUUUUAAGGAACAAGAUUCAGACCUUUUGGAGUUGGUUACACCAAAAAAAAUGUAAAAUGAAAAAAAAAAUAUUUGGGGUGUUCGGGCUUCCUGAAGGUAAUACCCUUCAGGUUUAAGUAUUAGGUUAUGGGGCUAGGAUUAGGUUUAAGGUUUUUGGCGUAAGGGUUAAAAUCACUGUCCAAUAUUUUUUAAGGAACAUGUUUCAGACCUUUUGGAGCUAGUUAGACCAAAAAAAAAGAAAAAGAAAAAAUAUAUAUUUGGGGUGUUCGGGCUUCCUGAAGGUAAUACCCGGGUAUUAGGUUUUGGGGCUAGGAUUAGGUUUAAGGUUUUUGGCGUUAGGGUUAAAAUCACUGUCCAAUAUUUUUUAAGGAACAUGUUUCAGACCUUUUGGAGUUAGUUCGACCAAAAAAAAAGAAAAAAGAAAAAAAAUAUUUUGGGUUUUCGGGCUUCCUGAAGGUAUUAGGUUUUGGGGCUAGUGUAAGGUUUAAGGUUUUUGGCGUUAGGGUUAAAAUCACUGUCCAAAACCUUUUAAGGAACAAGAUUCAGACCUUUUGGAGUUGGUUACACCAAAAAAAAUGUAAAAUGAAAAAAAAUUUUUUUUGGGUGUUCGGGCUUCCUGAAGGUAAUACUAGGUUUCUGGGCUAGGGUAAGGUUUAAGGUUUUUGGCGUUAGGGUUAAAAUCAAUGUCCAAAACCUUUGUAGGAACUCUUUUCCAACCUUUGAGAGCAAGUUAGACCAAAACAAAAAUAAAAAUAAAAAUAUAUAUUUGGGGUGUUCGGGCUUCCUGAAGGUAAUACCCGGGUAUUAGGUUUUGGGGCUAGGGUUAGGUUUAAGGUUUUUGGCGUUAGGGUCAAAAUAACUGUCCAAUAUUUUUUAAGGAACAUGUUUCAGAACUUUGGGAGUUAGUUAGACAAAAAAAAAAAAAAGAAAAAGAAAAAAAAAAUAUUUGGGGUGUUCGGGCUUCCUGAAGGUAAUACCCGGGUAUUAGGUUAUGGGGCUAGGGUAAGGUUUAAGGUUUUUGGCGUUAGAGUUAAAAUCAGUGUCCAAAACGUUUUUAGGAACAUGUUUAAGACCUUUUGGAGUUGGUUACACCAAAAAAAAAUGUAAAAUGAAAAAAAAUAUAUUUGGGGUGUUCGGGCUUCCUGAAGGAAAUACCCAGGUAUUAGGUUAUGGGGCUAUAGUAAGGUUAAAGGUUUUUGGCGUUAGGGUUAAAAUCACUGUCCAAAACCUUUGUAGGAACUAUUUUCCAACCUUUUGGAGUUAGUUAGACCAAAAAAAAGAAAAAAGAAAAAAAAAUAUUUGGGGUUUUUGGGCUUCCUGAAGGUAAUACCCGGGUAUGAGGUUAUGGGGCUAGGGUAAGGUUUAAGGUUUUUGGCGUUAGAGUUAAAAUCAGUGUCCAACACCUUUUUAGGAACAUGUUUAAGACCUUUUGGAGUUGGUUACACCAAAAAAAAUGUAAAAUGAAAAAAAAAAUAUUUGGCGUCUUCGGGCUUCCUGAAGGAAAUACCCAGGUAUUAGGUUAUGGGGCUAUAGUAAGGUUAAAGGUUUUUGGCGUUAGGGUUAAAAUCACCGUCCAAAACCUUUGUAGGAACAUGUUUCAGACCUUUUGGAGUUGGUAACACCAAAAAAAAAGUAAAAUGAAAAAAAAAAUAUUUGGGGUGUUCAAGCUUCCUGAAGGUAAUACCCGGGUAUUAGGUUUUGGGGCUAGGGUAAGGUUUAAGGUUUUUGGUGUUAGGGUUAAAAUCACUGUCCAAAACCUUUUAAGGAACAAGAUUCAGACCUUUUGGAGUUGGUUACACCAAAAAAAAUGUAAAAUGAAAAAAAAAAUAUUUGGGGUGUUCGGGCUUCCUGAAGGUAAUACCCUUCAGGUUUAAGUAUUAGGUUAUGGGGCUAGGAUUAGGUUUAAGGUUUUUGGCGUAAGGGUUAAAAUCACUGUCCAAUAUUUUUUAAGGAACAUGUUUCAGACCUUUUGGAGCUAGUUUGACCAAAAAAAAAGAAAAAGAAAAAAUAUUUAUUUGGGGUGUUCGGGCUUCCUGAAGGUAAUACCCGGGUAUUAGGUUAUGGGGCUAGGUUAAGGUUUAAGGUUUUUGUAGUGAGGGUUAAAAUCACUGUCCAAAACCUUUGUAGGACCUCUUUUCAAACCUUUUUGUGUUAGUUAGACAAAAAAAAAAACGAAAAAUUAAAAAAAAAUAUUUGGGGUGUUCGGGCUUCCGGAAGGUAAUACCCGGGUAUUAGGUUAUGGGGCUUUGGAAAGGUUUAAGGCUUUUGGCGUGAGAGUUAAAAUCACUGUCCAAAACCUUUGUAGGAAGUCUUUUCCAACCUUUUGGAGUUAGUUAGACCAAUAAAAAAAUGAAAAAUGAAAAAAAAAAAUUUGGGGUGUUCGGGCUUCCUGAAGGUAAUACCCGGGUAUUA